GGGGCGGUAGCUCAAUUGGUUUAGAGUACCGGCCUGUCACGCCGGUGGUUGCGGGUUCGAGUCCCGUCCGCCUCG
rnacentral:tRNA from 1 species